rnacentral:rRNA from 1 species
CCUACGGGGGGCUGCAGUGAGGAAUAUUGGUCAAUGGGCGCUAGCCUGAACCAGCCAAGUAGCGUGAAGGAUGACUGCCCUAUGGGUUGUAAACUUCUUUUAUAUGGGAAUAAAGUGCAGUAUGUAUACUGCUUUGCAUGUACCUUAUGAAUAUGGAUCGGCUAACUCAGUGCCAGCAGCCGCGGUAAUACGGAGGAUUCGAGCGUUAUCCGGAUUUGUUGGGUUUAAAGGGAGCGUAGGGGGGUUGUUAAGUGAGUUGUGAAAGUUUGCGGCUUAACCGUAAAAUUGCCGUUGAUACUGGCAUCCUUGAGUACAGGAGAGGUAGGCGGAAUUCGUGGUGUAGCGGUGAAAUGCGUAGAUAUAAGGAAGAACUCCGAUUGCGAAGGCAGCCUGCUGGACUGUAACUGACGCUGAUGCUCGAAAGUGUGGGUAGCAAACAGGAUUAGAUACCCCAGUAGUC